rnacentral:tRNA from 1 species
UGGGUUGUGGCUCAGUGGUAGAGUGUUUGCCUCACAUGUGUGAGGCCCUGGGUUUGAGUCUCAGCACUGCAU